rnacentral:lncRNA from 1 species
UCCAGCCACUACUGCUCCAAGGUAGAAGGGCUCCCUCAGGAGAGCCUGUUCCAAGCCCCCAAGACUCCAGCUAAUACCAUUAGCUGAUGCGCCUUAAUUCUCAGCCAGGACGGUGGGCCCGAGCCUACAGCAGCCCCAUUUGCUCAGCGCAUAAUAGGGAUUAGAAUUCAUUAAUGCACUACAAAUUAAAGUAUUAAUAACGGCAGCGGAGUUUAAAUGAGAGCCGGGGAAGUGAAUCGCGUGCCCGGGUAUACGCUCUCUCUGCCUCUCCCACCUAAAAGCAUUGUUCUGGCGCAGGCUAGCCGAUGCUCUUUAAUAUGCUGUGACCGCCGUGAAGCUGACCCUAGACAAUAAACAGGGCCUCCUAGUUAAGUAUUAAUCUGCCAAAAGAAUGACCUUCAUCCACUAAAGAAGGGAUGUUUUUAAAAACCUUGCAAGUUGAGGAAGGCUCAUUUGCUUGCUCAUUUAGCAUAUUAAAAGGGUAUUAUUGCUACAAACAAGAAAUCUAAAUGAGGCCCGAGCUGAAGCCUAGGAUAACACUUUAGAUUAAAGGUGCAGCGGAAUGAGGUACUGCGGGGAGCUGAAUUCUUGAUUGUUCGCCAACAAGGCAGGACCGGGCCGCUCUGGAGAUAAGAGACGUGGAGACAGUUCCGUGGGGACACCAGGGAAGAAGACCGAUCAGGGGGCGGGCUGGAGGAGCGGGAGGCCACCUGGCAAUGGAAGAGCUUCUGGGACCAGGCGAAGGAGAUUGAAACUUUUGACCUUGAAAGUUUGAAAAUCCAAGAGGAUUUUCCACCAUUCUGGCAUUUGAGAAUCUGUUUCCAGAGUUGGGGCAAUGCUCAUGUCUCAAGGAGCAAGAAGUGGUAAUUGGAAGUGACCUUCCAGAUUCCAGCCCAGCAGAAGCUGAAACAGCAGCAAUGUCACCUUUGGACAUUAACUUGGUAUGAGCAAAUGCUAUGCAAAAACUGAGAGCUAUGCCUCCUUUGGGAAGAGUAAAUAUAGAAAAAUGACAACAUGUACAUUAAUGCUCGUUAGAAUGUCAUCAUUAUAUUUCGCCAAGUGUCUGCUGAGGGGAUCCCUGAAGGACACUUAGAAGCCAAGCAGCUGCUCCAGAUUGGUUCCAGCUCACAUCUCUGAGAAAUGACAUUGAGAUAAAUACAACAUUUCAAGUGGAGUCCAUGAGGGAAGGGUGAGAACUGGACUCUUCUUGGGGAGGGAGAAGGGUGGAGAUGACAAGCGGUAGUGGGCUAGUAGGGACCCAUGAAUACCAAAAGUUCCCUGAGAAAGGAGAUCUUGGGAUUAAAAUAAAUCUAUAAAUUAGGAAAGAGUGUAAGGAGGG